rnacentral:pre_miRNA from 1 species
UCUUAUGGAUAAGCAAAGAAAGUGGUUUCUUAAGAUGGAAUCUACACCUGGUGAAGCUGCUGUGAG